UACGUAGGGUGCGAGCGUUACUCGGAAUUACUGGGCGUAAAGCGUGCGCAGGCGGUUUUGUAAGACAGGGGUGAAAUCCCCGGGCUUAACCUGGGAACUGCGCUUGUGACUGCAAGACUCGAGUACGGCAGAGGGGGGUAGAAUUCCACGUGUAGCAGUGAAAUGCGUAGAGAUGUGGAGGAAUACCGAUGGCGAAGGCAGCCCCCUGGGUCGAUACUGACGCUCAUGCACGAAAGCGUGGGGAGCAAACAGG
rnacentral:rRNA from 1 species